rnacentral:rRNA from 1 species
GACGAACGCUGGCGGCGUGCUUAACACAUGCAAGUCGAACGGAAAGGCCCUGCUUUUUUCUGCUGCUCGAGUGGCGAACGGGUGAGUAACACGUGCGUAACCUGCCCUUGCCUUUGGGAUAGCUUCAGGAAACUGGGGCUAAUACCGGCUAGGAGCUCCUUCUGCAUGGUGGGGGUUGGAAAGUUUCGGCGGUUGGGGAUGGUCUCGCGGCUUAUCAGCUUGUGGGUGGGGUAGUGGCUUACCAAGGCUUUGACGGGUAGCCGGCCUGCGAGGGUGACCGGCCACAGUGGGCCUGAGAUACGGCCAAGACUCCUACGGGAGGCAGCAGUGGGGAAUAGUGCAAAAUGGGCGGAAGCCGGAAGCAGCAACGCCGCGUGCGGGAGGACGGCCUUCGGGUUGUAAACCGCUUUCGCCGGUGACGAAGCGUGAGUGACGGUAAUGGGUAAAGAAGCACCGGCUAACUACGUG